UACGUAGGGGGCUAGCGUUGUCCGGAAUCAUUGGGCGUAAAGAGCGUGUAGGCGGCCCGGUAAGUCCGCUGUAAAAGUCAAAGGCUCAACCUUUGAAUGUCAGUGGAUACUGCCGGGCUAGAGUCCGGAAGAGGCGAGUGGAACUCCUGGUGUAGCGGUGGAAUGCGCAGAUAUCAGGAAGAACACCAACGGCGAAGGCAGUGUUCUGGGCCAGUACUGACGCUGAGACGCGAAAGCGUGGGGAGCAAACAGG
rnacentral:rRNA from 1 species